UACGAAGGGGGCGAGCGUUGUUCGGAUUUACUGGGCGUAAAGGGCGCGUAGGCGGCCCGUUUUGUCAGGCGUGAAAGCCCUGGGCUCAACCUGGGAACUGCGCUUGGGACGGAUGGGCUUGAGAUCGGGAGAGGAGAGUGGAAUUCCUGGUGUAGCGGUGAAAUGCGUAGAUAUCAGGAGGAACACCUGCGGUGUAGACGGCUUUCUGGACCAUUGCUGACGCUGAGACACGAAAGCGUGGGUAGCAAACAGG
rnacentral:rRNA from 1 species